rnacentral:rRNA from 1 species
CCUANGGGUGGCUUCAGUCGAGAGGCUUCGGCAAUGGGGGAAACCCUGACCGAGCGACGCCGCGUGGGGGAUGAAGGCCCUUGGGUUGUAAACCCCUUUUCUUCGGGAAGAAAUGCGAUCAGGUGAAUAAUCUGGUCGUUUGACGGUACCGGAUGAAUAAGCUCCGGCUAACUCCGUGCCAGCAGCCGCGGUAACACGGGGGGAGCAAGCGUUGUUCGGAAUCACUGGGCGUAAAGGGCGUGUAGGCGGUCAGGUAAGUGAGACGUGAAAUGCCUCGGCUCACCCGAGGAGCGGCGUCUCAUACUGCUUGGCUUGAGUACGGGAGAGGAUGUGGGAAUUCCUGGUGUAGCGGUGAAAUGCGUAGAUAUCAGGAGGAACACCGGUGGCGAAGGCGCACAUCUGGCCCGAUACUGACGCUGAGGCGCGAAAGCUAGGGGAGCAAACGGGAUUAGAUACCCUGNUANUC